rnacentral:rRNA from 1 species
AGUGAACGCUGGCGGCGUACUUAACACAUGCAAGUCGAACGAGAACGGAUUAUAGCUUGCUAUAAUUGUCAGCUAAGUGGCGCACGGGUGAGUAAUGUAUAGGUAAUACGCCUCUUACUAAGGGAUAACAAAUGGAAACGUUUGCUAAUACCUUAUACUCCUUAUUAACAGAAGUUAAUAAGGGAAAGAUUUAUUGGUAAGAGAUUAGCCUGUAUUGUAUCAGUUAGUUGGUGGGGUAAUGGCUUACCAAGACUAUGACACAUAACUGGUUUGAGAGGAUGAUCAGUCACACUGGAACUGAGACACGGUCCAGACUCCUACGGGAGGCAGCAGUGGGGAAUAUUGCACAAUGGACGAAAGUCUGAUGCAGCAACGCCGCGUGGAGGAUGACACAUUUCGGUGCGUAAACUCCUUUUAUAUGAGAAGAUAAUGACGGUAUUAUAUGAAUAAGCACCGGCUAACUCCGUGCCAGCAGCCGCGGUAACAC